rnacentral:rRNA from 1 species
CCUACGGGUGGCAGCAGUAGGGAAUAUUGCUCAAUGGGGGAAACCCUGAAGCAGCAACGCCGCGUGGAGGAUGAAGGUUUUCUGAUUUUUAACUCCUUUUGUUAGAGAAGAUAAUGACGGUAUCUAACGAAUAAGCACCGGCUAACUCCGUGCCAGCAGCCGCGGUAAUACGGAGGGUGCAAGCGUUACUCGGAAUCACUGGGCGUAAAGAGCGCGUAGGCGGGAUAGCAAGUCAGAUGUGAAAUCCUAUGGCUUAACCAUAGAACUGCAUUUGAAACUGUUAUUCUAGAGUAUGGGAGAGGUAGGUGGAAUUCGUGGUGUAGGGGUAAAAUGCGUAGAGAUCAAGAGGAAUACUCAUUGCGAAGGCGGCCUGCUAGAACAUAACUGACGCUGAUGCGCGAAAGCGUGGGGAGCAAACAGGAUUAGAUACCCGGGUAGUC